UUCAGAAAGUGCAGGCGUUAUUCGGAUGGAUUGGGCGUAAAGGGUACGUAGGUGGUCUUUAAAACUAAGUAUGAAAGGCUCGGAUUUAACCUGAGACAGAUAUUUAAAGAUUUGAAGACUUGAGUUAUACAGAGGUUAGGAGAAUUUCUAGUGGAGGGGUAGAAUCCUAAAAUAUUAGAAGGAAGACCAACGGCGAAGGCACCUUUCUGGGUAUAACUGACACUGAGGUAACGAAGGUAUGGGGAGCAAACAGG
rnacentral:rRNA from 1 species